rnacentral:piRNA from 1 species
UCCCAUAAGCAUCAAAGAUUAAUGCCUGGA